AAUGUCCGCUCUAGCUCGUUGACUCUCAAUCAAUUGAAAGAACUUACAAAAAAGGUAACAAGUAAUUUUCAUACUCACGUAAUAUUCUCCAUGCAAAAUUUCAUCAAAAAGCCAACGCAGCAUCACACAUCACAAAAGACGAAAUCCCCAAGGUGAUAUUGAACGCCACUUCAACUUCUACACUGAGGUCUGAGGAGAUUAGGAGAAGGCACUCAAGACAGAUAUCCGUUCAUGUUGUCUGCAAGUGAUUCCCGACGUUUCAGCACCUGAUGGGCAACAGUGCUGGACAAUGGAUUGCUGAAAGUGAAAACACCCAGUGUUGGCUACAUACUACAAGGCAACAGCAAAUGUAAAGUCAAUCACAAAUGGCGGUGAAGGUUGAUGAAGGUGAAAAAUCCUUUCCACACUACCCUAUCUGACAACAACAGCAUGUUCCUGGCUCAUUCGAUCCUCACUCUAGGGACUGGGCAUCUAAUUUAAUUAAUAAUCACUUGUAUCACCUUUUUAGCUUUAUUCCUGUCAUUCUGCACUUAACCUUACCUGUUAUAAAUCUUUCUUUUCUUCUGUAGGAUUGAUAAUUGCAGAGCACCAUUGGAAUGGGAGAGCUUGCCUGGCUUCGUCUGGUCCUAAGUUACACAAUACAAAACACAGCAUAAGUUACUUACACAAAUCUAAACAAAUUUAGAUUAGGAAUUUUAGCUUAAAUUUCAGCUGAACUUUCGUGUGACCUAGGUGCUUGUGACAAUAGAAAUCAAGUUAUCCAAUCCAAUAAUGCAAACUAUGUCUUCCAAAAUAGUUUCUACUGUCAUUUAAUUUUUAUGAUAACAUUUCAGGUUAACUUCCCCUGUCAAAUUGUGGUAAAUCUUAAAGAUAUUGAUGCCUUCCCCAGAUGCAAUUCUGUUUUGUUAUCUCUAAUGCUGCUAUCUCUUUGCCACUUAGUUCUAAUUUAGGACAAUGUAACAUUGAUAGAUUUGAGGGCGAGAUUCUCACCAUCGUUAUAGUUGUUUGGAAACUGUCAGCACUAACCAAUGCUCACCGGUGGGCACUCAGCACUCAUCAGCCAUUGGGAUUUGGGUAAUUUGAUGAAAACUUCUGGAGCAUCAUGUGUCUAACCUGUAAAUCUUCCAUGUCUAAUUGUUCCCUAGCUAAAAUGGCUUUGCACCCUUGCACACUCUUCUUCCUUGUCCAGGUAACUCUCUUGCACAAUCAAUCAAUGCAGUUUCUUCUCUUUCUUGAUUGUGCAUGUGCGAGUUUAAACAAAUAGACUAGCAUUUAGGCAUACAAUGAAGAAAUGAAUAAACAUUUAAAAUUUA